rnacentral:rRNA from 1 species
CGUGGUAUCCUGUCUGAAUAUGGGGGGACCAUCCUCCAAGGCUAAAUACUCCUGACUGACCGAUAGUGAACCAGUACCGUGAGGGAAAGGCGAAAAGAACCCCGGCGAGGGGAGUGAAAAAGAACCUGAAACCGUGUACGUACAAGCAGUGGGAGCCUMYUURUKRGGUGACUGCGUACCUUUUGUAUAAUGGGUCAGCGACUUAUAUUCUGUAGCAAGGUUAACCGWAUAGGGGAGCCGAAGGGAAACCGAGUCUUAACUGGGCGUUAAGUUGCAGGGUAUAGACCCGAAACCCGGUGAUCUAGCCAUGGGCAGGUUGAAGGUUGGGUAACACUAACUGGAGGACCGAACCGACUAAUGUUGAAAAAUUAGCGGAUGACCUGUGGCUGGGGGUGAAAGGCCAAUCAAACCGGGAGAUAGCUGGUUCUCCCCGAAAGCUAUUUAGGUAGCGCCUCGUGAACUCAUCUUCGGGGGUAGAGCACUGUUUCGGCUAGGGGGCCAUCCCGGCUUACCAACCCGAUGCAAACUACGAAUACCGAAGAAUGUUAUCACGGGAGACACACGGCGGGUGCUAACGUCCGUCGUGAAGAGGGAAACAACCCAGACCGCCAGCUAAGGUCCCAAAGUCAUGGUUAAGUGGGAAACGAUGUGGGAAGGCACAGACAGCCAGGAUGUUGGCUUAGAAGCAGCCAUCAUUUAAAGAAAGCGUAAUAGCUCACUGGUCGAGUCGGCCUGCGCGGAAGAUGUAACGGGGCUAAACCAUGCACCGAAGCUGCGGCAGCGACGCUUAUGCGUUGUUGGGUAGGGGAGCGUUCUGUAAGCCGUUGAAGGUGGCCUGUGAGGGUUGCUGGAGGUAUCAGAAGUGCGAAUGCUGACAUAAGUAACGAUAAAGCGGGUGAAAAGCCCGCUCGCCGGAAGACCAAGGGUUCCUGUCCAACGUUANGUGGGAAACGAUGUGGGAAGGCACAGACAGCCAGGAUGUUGGCUUAGAAGCAGCCAUCAUUUAAAGAAAGCGUAAUAGCUCACUGGUCGAGUCGGCCUGCGCGGAAGAUGUAACGGGGCUAAACCAUGCACCGAAGCUGCGGCAGCGACACUAUGUGUUGUUGGGUAGGGGAGCGUUCUGUAAGCCGUUGAAGGUGGCCUGUGAGGGUUGCUGGAGGUAUCAGAAGUGCGAAUGCUGACAUAAGUAACGAUAAAGCGGGUGAAAAGCCCGCUCGCCGGAAGACCAAGGGUUCCUGUCCAACGUUAAUCGGGGCAGGGUGAGUCGACCCCUAAGGCGAGGCCGAAAGGCGUAGUCGAUGGGAAACAGGUUAAUAUUCCUGUACUUGGUGUUACUGCGAAGGGGGGACGGAGAAGGCUAUGUUAGCCGGGCGACGGUUGUCCCGGUUUAAGCAUGUAGGCGGAGGUUCCAGGUAAAUCCGGUUACCUUUUAACGCUGAGGUGUGAUGACGAGGCACUACGGUGCUGAAGUAACAAAUGCCCUGCUUCCAGGAAAAGCCUCUAAGCAUCAGGUAACACGAAAUCGUACCCCAAACCGACACAGGUGGUCAGGUAGAGAAUACCAAGGCGCUUGAGAGAACUCGGGUGAAGGAACUAGGCAAAAUGGUGCCGUAACUUCGGGAGAAGGCACGCUGAUAUGUAGGUGAAGCCCCUGCGGGUGGAGCUGAAAUCAGUCGAAGAUACCAGCUGGCUGCAACUGUUUAUUAAAAACACAGCACUGUGCAAACACGAAAGUGGACGUAUACGGUGUGACGCCUGCCCGGUGCCGGAAGGUUAAUUGAUGGGGUUAGCGGCAACGCGAAGCUCUUGAUCGAAGCCCCGGUAAACGGCGGCCGUAACUAUAACGGUCCUAAGGUAGCGAAAUUCCUUGUCGGGUAAGUUCCGACCUGCACGAAUGGCGUAAUGAUGGCCAGGCUGUCUCCACCCGAGACUCAGUGAAAUUGAACUCGCUGUGAAGAUGCAGUGUACCCGCGGCAAGACGGAAAGACCCCGUGAACCUUUACUAUAGCUUGACACUGAACACUGGUCCUUGAUGUGUAGGAUAGGUGGGAGGCUUUGAAGCGUGGACGCCAGUCUGCGUGGAGCCGACCUUGAAAUACCACCCUUUAAUGGCUGGUGUUCUAACGUAGACCCGUAAUCCGGGUUGCGGACAGUGUCUGGUGGGUAGUUUGACUGGGGCGGUCUCCUCCCAAAGAGUAACGGAGGAGCACGAAGGUUAGCUAAUCCUGGUCGGACAUCAGGAGGUUAGUGCAAUGGCAUAAGCUAGCUUGACUGCGAGAGUGACGGCUCGAGCAGGUGCGAAAGCAGGUCAUAGUGAUCCGGUGGUUCUGAAUGGAAGGGCCAUCGCUCAACGGAUAAAAGGUACUCCGGGGAUAACAGGCUGAUACCGCCCAAGAGUUCAUAUCGACGGCGGUGUUUGGCACCUCGAUGUCGGCUCAUCACAUCCUGGGGCUGAAGUAGGUCCCAAGGGUAUGGCUGUUCGCCAUUUAAAGUGGUACGCGAGCUGGGUUUAGAACGUCGUGAGACAGUUCGGUCCCUAUCUGCCGUGGGCGCUGGAGAAUUGAGGGGGGCUGCUCCUAGUACGAGAGGACCGGAGUGGACGCAUCACUGGUGUUCGGGUUGUCAUGCCAAUGGCACUGCCCGGUAGCUAAAUGCGGAAGAGAUAAGUGCUGAAAGCAUCUAAGCACGAAACUUGCCCCGAGAUGAGUUCUCCCUGAGACUAUAAGUCUCCUGAAGGAACGUUGAAGACGACGACGUUGAUAGGUCGGGUGUGUAAGCGCAGCGAUGCGUUGAGCUAACCGAUACUAAUGAACCGUGAGGCUUAACCUUACAACGCCGAAG